rnacentral:rRNA from 1 species
UACGAAGGGGGCUAGCGUUGCUCGGAAUCACUGGGCGUAAAGGGUGCGUAGGCGGGUCUUUAAGUCAGGGGUGAAAUCCUGGGGCUCAACUCCAGAACUGCCUUUGAUACUGAAGAUCUUGAGUUCGGGAGAGGUGAGUGGAACUGCGAGUGUAGAGGUGAAAUUCGUAGAUAUUCGCAAGAACACCAGUGGCGAAGGCGGCGACCUGGGCCAAUACUGACGCUGAGGUGCGAAAGCGUGGGGAGCAAACAGG